rnacentral:rRNA from 1 species
GAGUUUGAUCUUGGCUCAGGAUGAACGCUAGCGGCAGGCUUAACACAUGCAAGUCGAGGGGUAGAGUUAGCUUGCUAACUUGAGACCGGCGCACGGGUGCGUAACGCGUAUGCAAUCUACCUUGUACAGGGGGAUAGCCCAGAGAAAUUUGGAUUAAUACCCCAUAGUGUUAUGAUGUGGCAUCACAUUAUAACUAAAGUUCCAACGGUACAAGAUGAGCAUGCGUCCCAUUAGCUAGUUGGUGUGGUAACGGCAUACCAAGGCAACGAUGGGUAGGGGUCCUGAGAGGGAGAUCCCCCACACUGGUACUGAGACACGGACCAGACUCCUACGGGAGGCAGCAGUGAGGAAUAUUGGUCAAUGGGCGCAAGCCUGAACCAGCCAUGCCGCGUGCAGGAUGACGGUCCUAUGGAUUGUAAACUGCUUUUGUACAGGAAGAAACACUCCCCUCGUGAGGGAGCUUGACGGUACUGUAAGAAUAA